AACGCUGGCGGCGUGCUAACUACAUGCAUAGAUCGAACGCUUUUGUUUUCACCGGAGCUUGCUCCACCGAAGAACAAAAGAGUGGCGGACGGGUGAGUAACACGUGGGUAACCUGCCCUCAACGCGGGGUGAUAAUCACUUGGAAACAGUGGUUGCUAAUACCGUCAUAACGAUACAGAAUCGCAUGAUUUUGAUUUGAAACGGCGCUUUUGCGUCUACUUGGAGAGAUGGACCCGCGGUGCAUUAGCUAGUUGGUGAGUGUAACGGCUCACCAGAGGCCACGAUGUCAUACCCGACCUGAGCAGGGUGAUCGGACCACACUGGGACUGAGACGAGCGGCCCAGUACUCCUACGGGAGGCAGCAGUAGGGACAUCUUCGGCUAAUGGAACGAAUAGUCUGACCGAGCAACGCCGUCGUGUAGUGAAGAAGGUUCUUCGUGCAUCGUAAAACUCUGUUGUUAGAGAAGAACAGAGGGUGAGUAGUAGAAUGUUCACCCCUUGACGGUCAUCUAACCAGAAAGCCAGCGGCUAAACUACGUGCCAGCACGACCGCGGUUAAUACAGUAUGGUGGCAAGCGUUGUCCGGAUUUAUUGUUAUUG
rnacentral:rRNA from 1 species